rnacentral:rRNA from 1 species
UGGCGGCGUGCCUAAUACAUGCAAGUAGAACGCUGAAGAGAGGAGCUUGCUCUUCUUGGAUGAGUUGCGAACGGGUGAGUAACGCGUAGGUAACCUGCCUUGUAGCGGGGGAUAACUAUUGGAAACGAUAGCUAAUACCGCAUAACAAUGGAUGACACAUGUCAUUUAUUUGAAAGGGGCAAUUGUUCCACUACAAGAUGGACCUGCGUUGUAUUAGCUAGUAGGUGAGGUAAUGGCUCACCUAGGCGACGAUACAUAGCCGACCUGAGAGGGUGAUCGGCCACACUGGGACUGAGACACGGCCCAGACUCCUACGGGAGGCAGCAGUAGGGAAUCUUCGGCAAUGGGGGCAACCCUGACCGAGCAACGCCGCGUGAGUGAAGAAGGUUUUCGGAUCGUAAAGCUCUGUUGUAAGUCAAGAACGGGUGUGAGAGUGGAAAGUUCACACUGUGACGGUAGCUUACCAGAAAGGGACGGCUAACUACGUGCCAGCAGCCGCGGUAAUACGUAGGUCCCGAGCGUUGUCCGGAUUUAUUGGGCGUAAAGCGAGCGCAGGCGGUUUGAUAAGUCUGAAGUUAAAGGCUGUGGCUCAACCAUAGUUCGCUUUGGAAACUGUCAAACUUGAGUGCAGAAGGGGAGAGUGGAAUUCCAUGUGUAGCGGUGAAAUGCGUAGAUAUAUGGAGGAACACCGGUGGCGAAAGCGGCUCUCUGGUCUGUAACUGACGCUGAGGCUCGAAAGCGUGGGGAGCGAACAGGAUUAGAUACCCUGGUAGUCCACGCCGUAAACGAUGAGUGCUAGGUGUUGGAUCCUUUCCGGGAUUCAGUGCCGCAGCUAACGCAUUAAGCACUCCGCCUGGGGAGUACGACCGCAAGGUUGAAACUCAAAGGAAUUGACGGGGGCCCGCACAAGCGGUGGAGCAUGUGGUUUAAUUCGAAGCAACGCGAAGAACCUUACCAGGUCUUGACAUCCCGAUGCUAUUUCUAGAGAUAGAAAGUUACUUCGGUACAUCGGUGACAGGUGGUGCAUGGUUGUCGUCAGCUCGUGUCGUGAGAUGUUGGGUUAAGUCCCGCAACGAGCGCAACCCCUAUUGUUAGUUGCCAUCAUUCAGUUGGGCACUCUAGCGAGACUGCCGGUAAUAAACCGGAGGAAGGUGGGGAUGACGUCAAAUCAUCAUGCCCCUUAUGACCUGGGCUACACACGUGCUACAAUGGUUGGUACAACGAGUUGCGAGUCGGUGAUGGCGAGCUAAUCUCUUAAAGCCAAUCUCAGUUCGGAUUGUAGGCUGCAACUCGCCUACAUGAAGUCGGAAUCGCUAGUAAUCGCGGAUCAGCACGCCGCGGUGAAUACGUUCCCGGGCCUUGUACACACCGCCCGUCACACCACGAGAGUUUGCAACACCCGAAGUCGGUGAGGUAACCUUUUGGAGCCAGCCGCCUAAGGUGGGACAGAUGAUUGGGGUGAA